UGAAUCUUAGUUUUAUCAUCUGUAAAAUGGAGGUAAUGAAACCAACCUCAUACAGUUGUUGUGAAGAAUAAGCUGAGAUAAGACAUGUUGGAUGCCUGGUGCAAUAAAAUGUCACGCCCCUGAGCUUGCUCACAAGAACCGGUGCAUGUCCCAGCUGGAGGCUUGCUACAAAAUGCAGGCCAAGUGGAACUAAAGGAAGCACAACAAUUCAAACAGAUCAGCAGCUCUUAAGUCGUUCAUGAAGGUAGAAAACUGAUUUAAAUUACAGCAGAAUUAGCCUCGAUAAAUGAAACACAAACAAGAUUAAAAUAAAUAGGUUCACUGCUGUAUUUAUCUGGCCAUUUGAUAUUACGGUGUCUUUACUCUCCGCCACCUUUAAAUAGCCAAAUUUCUCAAAAUAGUCAUCUAUAUACUAUCCCCUUUUUCCUUACCUUCCAUUCCAUAGCUGGCUGGUUCCAAUCCAUCAUUUUACUGGAGUAUUUCCCACUAAGGUUACAGAGUAUCUUUAUGUUGCUAAAUUCAAAAACUUUUGUUCUUUAGUCUUCCUCUUAUUAGACUCCUUAGCAGCGACUGAUGCUAUACACCCUUCCCGGAACAUUUGCCUCCUCUGUCUUCCUUCACACGAUACCAUGUUUUCUUCUAUGCCACUGUUCUUCCAUCUCCUUCACAAGUUCAUUGUCUCUUUAGGCCCCAAAGUAUUAUUGGUCCCAGACACUGGGACUUAGAUGUUCUUACCUUAUACCCCUCCCCCUAGAUGAUUUCAUCUUUGCUCAAGAUUUUCAUGGCUCAAGAUGUUCACCUGAACUACACGCAGAUGAACCUCAACUCCACACCUCCAGCCGGAAAUCUCUUGCCAGGCCCAGUCCUGUAUGGACAAGUGCCUAGCUCAAAAUCACCUCAAAUGCCAUCAUCAUUUUUUAAAAUCCAAGUGUGACAAUGCCUGUCCUCUGCUUAAUUCCCUCAGAUGGCCUCCCUUGCUCUUAGGACCAGGGCAGAAAUCCUCCUCAUGUGUACAGGUCCCUGGAUCAUGGGUGCUCGUGUCCUCUCCAGCCUCACCCCCCUGUUGGUGCUCUCUGCAUUCCCACCACCUGAGCCUACACUUAGUUCAAGCAAAUCCUCUCUCUCCUACUCUGAGUCCUUUGCAUGUGCUGUUCCCUCUACCUGAAAUUCUCUUCCCUCCUUUUGCCUGCUAAACCCACUGUAUACUAAGAAAAAGGGUCAUCACCAACGGACCUCUUUUAUUUAUUUUUUAACUUUUUGAAUGAACUUAAAGAAUGAUUUAGAGAAUAAAACAAGAGGACAAACAUAACUGGAUACAUUAGUGAUAACUUAUACAGUAAACCCAAAUUUUUACACCAAUUUUCCUGGCUUUGAAGCUACAGAUACUCAGAAUAGGUAACAUCUUUUGAAUGCAAUUAACUGCUCUUCGACUGUCCUGAAUGAAGCUGGAAUAUAUCCACCUUACAAAUGCUAACCAGGUUUGAAAGUAGCUCUAGUAGGUUCUAGCUCAUCAUUACUUCUGGUCCUUUUCUGUAGUUGCACCAUCAAAACGCAGUAUCUUAACAUGUGACGGCUCAUAAUUUUGCUGAUGGAAGGACAGUCAUGUUCUUGGCUUAAUAAUUACAAAACACUUUCAUUUCUGGAUUUAGUGUAAUCAAUUAGAGUGACAAGCCAAUAAUUCUUUUCAUUUCUACAUCAUAUAUUCCUUCAAACCACCUCUGUACACACACCUGCAUUUGUCCACUUACAAAUCAUAUGAAGUACAUUUUCAGUACACAAACAUCUUAAAAGAUGAAAGAAUUUGUCACAUGUCCUUCUAGCAAAAACAGAAUGCUCCAGGUUUUUGCUGCAAAAUGUUGUAUGAUGAAGUACUUCCUGAUGAAUGACAAACUGGAUAUGAAUACUGUAUUUCCUUUUCAUCCUUUGAAAUGCAUUACUGACUCACAUGAUUCCUGAGUUGAGGAAAAUUCAUCUGGAAUAUCUUCAUCUGAAGAAUCUGAGAUUUCACUUACACAAUCAAUUUCACCAUCAUCAUUAGAGUCUCGAGAGCUUCUGUCCUUUGGCAUUUAUCUUCUGAAUCAUGGAAUAAUCGUGAGAGGUCCUCAUCAGUUUCCUUUUCUUUGCUAUCAUGGCAGAAAAUUCUCAAUUCUCAACUCUGUUCAACUAGAGAUUUUUAAUUUAGAUAAAAGUAUUUCCUGACUUAUACCUGCUUGAAAGAUACAAAAAACUGUGGGCUCAUGCAGUAAGAAAACUCAAGGAUAAUAUAAUAACACUUCACUAUUGCAUCAGCCUUAGAGUUGAUUCCAUCACUCACUGCUUUUCUAACGUUUAUUUUAGUAUGGUUGCGAAUAAUUAAUAAGCAUGGAUGAACAAAUUCCUCAGAUGAUGAAAUAGGAAAAUGUUUCAAGAUACAGAAAAGACCACUAAGAUGUCACCACGUGUCUUAGGUGUACAAGAGGUCCAACAGAGCUAGUGGUAAUGCUAAGACAGAAUGAGGUUUUUGUUUUGUUUUGUUUUUGUUUUUUUUUGCCUUUAAACAAAUAAUGUUCUGUUUGUUCCCUGAAAGACUGCUAGGAAAGAUUAAAUUUAUGCAACAGCAAUCCAUUAAAGCCCUUAAGGCAUCUCAUAAAAGAAACUCCAAAAUUAAAAUGGGGUCCAAGGGACCCUGAUGGUAUACUGAGGGUUGCAGGCACCUCCCCACCUUUAAGAUACUGGCGUUGUAGCCAUCCUUUUCAGGGAAGAUUUUCUGGAUCUCCCUGAUUAGGUCAAACUUGCCUAUUAUGCCGUGUUGUAACAUCAUUUUCUUCUCUCUCAUAGCACUAACACAGUUGCAAUCUGACAUUUAUUGGUCUGAUUAGUGUGAGUAUUUGGUCAAUGUCUGCUCUCCCAAUAAACUUUCAAUUAGUGUACAGACUGUGUUUCCUCAGCAUCUGGAAUCGGACAUGGCACACAGUAGGUUCUCAACAACGGCCUUGGGGAAACGAGUCUAAAUUUGGUUCUGUCUCCACACUAUGUGAAAUAACUGUCAUAAUGGGUAAGAAUUGCCCACUAUUGCUUCAGAAUUUUUUCCUAAGAGAUUGUUAACAUAUUUUAAUCCUCCCCGAUUCCCUACUGUGUGAUCCUUGUCAACAGUGAAGGAAAUAUUUACGAAGUACCUACCGGGAUCAGGUGGCCUACGUUCAAUAUUCUGUUUGAAUUCUCAAAAAUCUUGCAAACUGAAUAUUCCCAUUUUCACUUUACAGAUGGGAAAGUGGGAUUUAGAAGGUUAAAUAACUUGCCCAAGGUCUCAGAACAAACAAACAGGAAAAGAGAUUUAAAUUCAUGCCUGAUCUGACUCCAACCUGUGUUCUUUCUACUUCAUCCACUGAAACACACAAGGGAAGCAUGUUCUAUUUCUUUUACAACUAUCCAGAACACAGAGUUUCUUGCUUGGGCAACAGUGGGCACUAAGAGGUGUUGUCUAAAGAGCUAUGAUCCAAUUUAAGUCAAUAUUUAGAUUUGCUCUGUCUUGUAUGGGUUUUGCUUUUUUUUCUAAAGGGCUUGUACUGUCCUUGCCUUGUGUGUGGAAUCUUAUUUAAAAGUAGAAUAUAUGCCACACAGGCACUUAGAAGCAUUCUCAUUUUCACUGGACAACAGGAAGCCAGCUCCAAUGUAUUAAUAAGAGCAGUGUGCUACAGAUAUUACACAUUUGCAGGCAAGUUUUACUUAGCAAAUUCAGAAAUAAAGUUCCCUAAUGGAGGAUCUGCCUUUUACCAGCACUUCAAAAAUAUAUUUCCACUGGCUAUCAGAAUGCUUGUUGCCAUACAAUAUCAUGACUUAAUGUAAGCUCAGUGUUUUUAAUCUGUCAAAUAUGUACACAUUUACGUACCCUUUUAAGAAGUUAUAAUGGUUUUCUCCUUAGAACUCAUUUCACUUCAUACAUUUCUAUUACAAGCUGAAGUUCCUCCUUUCAAAAUCCAACAGCAAAAUCAUAAGAUGACAUCAUUAAAAGACAUAAAAAAGCUAGAGUGACAUUAAAGGACUAGUAACUGGAUGAUGGAGGGAAUUGAGAGUGAAGUCCAAGUUGCAAAUUCAGGUCCCUCAUCAUAAUUUCUACCUGUAGGCAAGAGUUCUAUCAUGCCACAUGACAGUAACUACAGAGUCAAGCAGUGUCACCCUGACAGCACCUACACCAGCGGUCUCAGCGGGGAGGGAGGAGAUGCAGCAGGAGCUGGGGUUCUUGCUUCGAUAUACACAUGCAAGUCUCUUAGGUCCCCCCACAUCCUGGCACACAGGAAACCAUGCUGUAAUUGGGAGAUGGUAAUUGGUAAGUCCUACAGAUGAGUCCCCAACAAGCAGCAACCACUUCUCCUCCUUAUCCCCGACAGACACACCUCAAUCCACACAGUGCAACCCAUAUGCACACCCCAGCUGACACAGCAUCAUCAUUUGGGCAACUACGUAUGUGAAGUGGAAGAGUUAAACGGUCUGAGGCUGAUGAGUGAGGUGCUCAUGGGGGUCUGGGAAAGUCUUAGGGUGGGACGGCAUGAGUGUUUCACUACUGUGGUUAAGAGUUAAAAGCCUACUGCCUCGGCUCAAAUACUGACUCUGCCCUUGAGUGACCCAAGGUCCUCAGGUGAGUCAUUUCUGCUCUCUGAGUCUCCAUGUCCUCGCCUAUAAAACGAAGGUGAUAACAUGUACUGUUUAAAGCGGCUGUGAAGGGUCACGGGGUUAAUCAAUGCACAGUGAUUGGCAGCAUACCCACCAUAGCAAGUAUGAGCUAUUGCUGUUACAAUUUUCAAAGAAGAAAAAAAAAAUGGUGUGGUUCCAGAAAAGAUGUGAAAUUUAAGGAAAAAAAAAGUAGUUAUCAAAUACCUGAUGAAUGUCAAGACACAUAAUGAAGCCAGCUCAUUCUGCUCAAAUCCCUUCAAAGCUUUACUCCCAGUGUCAUGGAAAACCUAACUGCUGACAAGGCCCUGUGUGGCCAGGACUGCACUUCCUGUGGCCUGAUGUCCUUUUUCCUCCUCUCCAAGCCCUCUCAGCAGCCACAAUGGCCUUAGGGUUCCACCAACAUGUCAGGUGCACUCCAGCUUUAUGGAGCACUUCCAGUGCAACUGCCUUCUGCCUGGACUGCUCUACCCUGCAUAAGCAUGUGGCCAAAUCCCGCAGCGGCUUCCUGCUUUUCUUUCAAUUGCUCCUUCUGGAUAAAGCCCACCCUGAUGUCCUAUUUAAAACUGCAACCUUCCCUGGGGCCCUCCAAAUCUGGAGCUCCUAGUUCUGUUUGCCCUGCUCUAUUCCUAUCCCCGACCCUGACCAUAGCACCUUCUAAGUAAGUUGUUUUAUUUAUAGCAUCUGCAUGCCUCACUAGAGUGCACACCCACAAGGGUGAGGGCCAAGUCUGUCUGUCUUGUUCACUGAAGCUCUAUAAACAUGCUUUGAAGGAAUAAAGUCUGAACUUCAUAUUUUAGAUUUAAGUUUUUCCCUAUUGGUUCAAAGAGGAAAACCACAUCCUUGUGGGUUUUUUCCCCCGUCUCAUUCUGACAUGGAUAAAUCAAAAACAGUGACUGGAGCUCCUUAUGAUGCCAAUGAUCCAAGAAACCUCUAACCAUUAUACUAGAUGGUUCAGUGGAUAGCAAACUAAUUUGUGUAUUGUACUUAUUUCUACCCUUCUCUUUCCAAAAAGAAUCUGAGAUCAUUUCAGUAGUAAGGAAUUUCCCUUUAGCAGUUCAAGAAUUUACCAUCAGAUCUACUGAAAGAAAUCUGAGGAAACAAGAUGAUAAUCUCACAUUUUUGAAUAUGCAUCACUGUAAGACAAAUACUUGCAUACACAACACUAUGCAAUCAUUUCUAGAACAGGUAUUAAUGUUUUGAUCAUGGCAAUCAUUGUCAAACUCGUGGCCACCAGAAAAUCCCAAGAUACAUUGACCACCUCUCCAAAGAGGAGACCUUGUUUAACAGAAGGUGAGCUCCUUAAGUUAUCAAAGGAAACUCACCCUUAAGAUACAUAAAUUGCUUAACUGCUUGAACUUCUUGAUUCCUUUGAUAGCAAGGAACUUCAGUUCGAUAGCAAGCACUUCACACUAAUAGAGAUGUGCAUUACAGGAUUACCAGGGAUAGUCUAGGUGACAAAUGACACACACAUCUUGAGAAAGAAACAUUCCUGAAAUGGAGACUGGGCCUGCAAAGCUUGUGCAGUAUUUUUCUACCUGGUCUAAUUUUAGAUGAUUCCCUGACAACCGGAAGGUUUGUACUAUGCCAGGUUUAUCCCAGCUCAAGCAACAGAUUUUUCUCUCUGACUGCAGGUCACAUUAUCUCAUGAAUGAACUGUUAUUUAGGUCAGUAAAGAGUCUCUCCCUAAUUGAAUGUGCCUUUUAUUCCUGAUGCUCGUGCUCUAUAUAUCAAGAUUUUAAAUCAUAUUUAGGGGGUGGGGAAGGGACUGGUAUGAAGAAGCAAAAGGGGAUUGUGACAUUUAUACUCUAUUUGAAGCAGAACAGGUCAAAAUACCUGAAUAUUUUUAAAUCUUUCAUUCUUAAAUGAUGGGUUCACUAUGGUUUAAUUGAUACUAAUUGCUUAGCUAUUACUUCUUUCACAGUGUUAAACACUUUUUCUCCCUUAACAAGAAAUGCUGUUUGAUUUUAAAUUUGAAGGUUACUGUUCUAGAAAAAAGAAAAGCAAUGUAUUGUUUCUUUCAUCAUAAUAGGCAAACAAACAAAAAUAAUUCCUUGGUUGAAUAACCACAGACCACUCUGAAGGGAGUGCUGGUAGGACUCGCCUGCUGAAAAUAGUCAACUAAUCUAAAUGUGGAAUGUAGUUAAAGAGAAACCAAAUCCACAAAUCAGAAAAAGCAUCAAGCACUGUGAAAACCUAGCCCAGAUCUAAGAAUCAGGUUAAAUCUCUCAAUGAAAUGAGAUGAUCCUGUUAAUGGUGCAUUUAGACUUUGAGAAGACUCAAUCUUUUGCCCAAAACAAAAAGCAUAAACUCCAGAAGGAGGGGAUCAAGUCUCAUCCCCAGUAGAUGCUGGGAAUCAUGCCUGAUACACAGCAGACCCUUAAAGUAUCUGCUGAAGGCACUCAGGAAUUAGUUUCCUGUAGUUCAACUGAGUGAAUGUAACUCCACCGAUAAACAGCACACUCCAGGAGCUAUGAAACAUGAAACUAUCCAUGCAGAACGCAAAAGGCAUGAAUCCACUCCCCUCUGGAAGCAGAAAUCAAAGAUGCUCAUGGUCUCCCUUUAGAGAGUUCGACUUAAUAGGUCAGAGACAGACCUAGGCACAAGUGUCUCUAAAGAAUUAUUCAGGUGAUUCUAAUGUGUGGAAUAACAACAACAACCAAAAACACUGAUCUAUCAAUACAAUACUGAGUUGUUAAAUCUACACAUUUUAAUGUCUUACCUAUAUUACUAAUAAAAGCAAAAAAAAAAAAAGUUUUGAAGACAACGGCCACACUUCUA